CUGGGACAUGUCUCCAGCAAAAAUUGUAAAAUACUCUACAUGGGAAAUUGGUCUCAGUGCUGGCAGCAUUCUAUAGCCUCUUCCUAGCUCUUCAGGUAUUUGUGUUUCUCCAACUAGAAGAGCCUAAAUUUUACCUCCUACUAAGAUAUUUAUCAAUUGGUGUCAGCAGUCCAGAAACAUACAAAGCAGCAAAACGAAAUUUGAGAUACAGAAAUUUCCACAGGAAUAAAAGUCGGCUGAAUACCUAGAAUGCAUUUUAAAAUAUGGGGAACUCUUGGUGUAAGAGAGUUCCACAGAGUAUUGUGGAAGAAGAGCUGAAGAAGGAUAUCUACCACUUUUUAUCAGAAGAAUACAGAAAACUGGCAAAUAAUUUUAUUUGCCUUUCAUUGGCUCAAUGUAGUCAUAUGAAUAUAUAUAAAUGUCAGACGGUCUGGUAAAUAUGGUAUUUAUUCUCUCUCUGUGGCUAGAUAAAAUUUUUAUUACUCUGUAAAGUGAAGAGAAACAGUUGGGAUGAAAAUAUACUAACAGGGCUUGGAACAAAUUUCUUUGAAUUAAUCAAAUUCUGGAAAAUGAAGGACAUUGGUAAUUAAAAAAACAAAAACAAAUGAAAAGCAGGAACAAGUAAAAGAAAUCCAUAAAAUAAGGAUGUAAAAUACAAAUGCAAUGAAAAAACAAUAGGCUUUUAGCAGAGGAGAGAUGGAGAAUAUAAGUAACUUUAUACUUCUAAA
rnacentral:lncRNA from 1 species